AUUUAGCCACUAUAAUAAAGGCUUUUUAAUAUUUACUUCCUCGUUUGUUACAUUUUCUUACAUUUGAAAUGCCUGGAUUUCUCUUGUUUGAAGUAUUCUGUUUUUAAAUAUUUAUAAAAUGACCAAACCAUCAUUAAAUCAUUACAACAAUGGCAGAUACUCUUCUGUAACUCAUUUCUACUGUUUCAGAUAUUGUCACAUCUCCCAGUCAUUUGAACAGCGGCAGUGUGCUGACAGAGAGCAAAACACUGCAGAGUCUUCUGUUGAACCAGUUUGUCGCUCAACAUUUUCAGCACACAUAAAGGUUUUCAAACUCAAAAUCAGAACAGUUACAGCCAUCAAACACAAUCACAUGUGGAGAUUUGACACCAACAACAUGAUCUCUCCCAUUAAAUGCAAAGU